rnacentral:lncRNA from 1 species
GGCACUGGAGGGAGGGGCGAGGGAAAGGCGCAUGGGCCCUGCCCUCACGGUCCCACAUCAGUGUGGGUGAAAUCCGAAGAAGCUUCGGGGAGCAGAUGACAUCUGAAACGAGCCUUAGGGAGCAGAUAGGAUUUCAGGGGCAGCGGUAGGAUGAUGCAAAGGAAUCGUAUGAGCAGGUGUGGAAAAGCACUGGGCCUGCUUGGAAGUCAAGUUUGGCUGGGGUGUGGGGGCGGGGAGGGGCAUUCAUUGCACCAAGAAGAUGCUAAAGAGGAGAAAAAUCCCUGGGAAUCCCAGCUUGUAUCCAAACCAGGGGCAUGAGGUUAGUAUCUUAUUAAAGGUAAAAGCCACAUGCGUGAAGCCGCCUGCAUCUCCUCUCAUGUAAUCCCUCCGUAGCCCAGUGAGGGUCCAGCAGCACCGCAGUGCUCGGCUCGCAGGGUGGCCUCAGGGGCGCAGGCAUCCUGAAGAUGGACACCCAGUUUCCUAAUGGUGGCCCUGCCUGUCUAUUGCCCUUCAGACCACUGGGCACAGCUGGCAGGAGCCAGCCCACUGAGGAAUAGGAGAAUCUCAGGUGCAGGUUGGCAUGCGCUUCAGGGCAACCCCGAGCAAACUCUCAAUACUGCCAUCUCAUGCAUAUGCAUGCUCGAACACACACACACACACACACACACACACACACACACACACACGCUUACACGGAAAGUUUAUACAAAUGACACAAGGAGAAGAAUCCAGAUCUUGUGGGGUUGGGAAUCCUUUUCCCUCCCAAUCCCCCUGCUCUGCAGCUGCACACAGCUCCUGGUGUCUGGCGGUGGCGGCAGGCAGGACUCACCAUCUGUGUUCUCCAGGCGGGACAUAGCUGGCCCUCGGUGUUCUUAGAUGUGACAUCUGAGGUUUCUAGGUGAAUAAUCAGAGAGGCCCGUUUUACGAAGGACUUAGUGAAUUUCCUGGAGGCGUGAGUGUGACUCGAGAGCCGCUUGGCUGGAGAAGGGUUGUGGUGACCAUGUGAUGUCUGACAAAGAAGAGAAACAUGCAAAUCCGAUUUCUUUGGGGUGGGCGGGAAACCGCCACGAGAAGAAAGCCGAGGGUUUUUAUGAAUGAAUUCGACUGUAUUUCUAGAAUCGUGGUCAGCCUAGUGUGUUCCCUGGAGUCUUUCCGUUAUGCUUUGUUGAACUUUAUGAGGAAAUCGUAUCCUCUGGAGAUGUUCAUAAAUGCGGAGCUUCGCACAGGUCUCCGGAUGCGCCCCUGGGUGGUUUUAACAGAGCCUGGAACCGAUUCAGGAGAGGGGCUGCCAGUCCCAGCACAUGCAGAGCUGCUCCCCUUCUGAUUCAGACACUCCUUUUUUCUCCCCCCUUUUUAGGGCCACGCCCCCAGUAUAUGGAGAUUCCCAGGCUAGAGGUCUAAUCAGAGCUGCAGCCGUCGGCCUACGCCACGGCCACAGCAAUGUGGGAUCCGAGCCAUGUCUGCAGCCUACACCACAGCUCAUGGCAAUGCUGGAUCCUUAACCCACUGAGAAAGGCCAGGGAUCAAACCCACAUCCUCAUGGAUCCUAGUCGGGUUCGUUAACUGCUGAGCCACGACAGGAACCCCCUGCUUCAGACACUCUUUAAGACAUUUUUUUAAAGUGAAACCACUCAGACAUAUAAACACAUUAUAAUAAUAUAAUAAACAUUUUUAAGGAAAUAAAAUAUUACAGAGGCCAUAAAAGUACCUAUGGAGCCAGCUCUCAUCCCAUUCCCUUCCCUUCCCUAAAAUAACCACUAUCUUGAAUUGGGGUUUAGCCUGCUAAUGCUUUAUUUAAAAUUUGUAAUACAUGUAUGCGUAUCCAUAAAUAACAUAGGGCAUGUGUGCAUACUUUGGAUAAUUAUAUAAAUUGCACUAUGUGCAAGUUUCUGUGACGUGCUUUGAUUUUUGCUCAACAUUCUUUUUUGAGACUUAGCUCUGCUGUUAUAUGUCGCACUGGUGCAUCCAUUUUCACUGCUGUAUUGUAUUCCACUGUAGCACCACCCUCACAUUUGUUUAUUCAUUCUCUAGUUGAUGGUCAUCUGGUUGUUUCCACUUCUUGCCACAACUAAUGAUGCUGCAGUAAACAUUAUGACCCAGGUCUGCAUGUGCACGUUUCCGUAGACGCAUAUGUUUCCAAGUAGAAUUGUUGUCUUGAAGGGUACGGAUAUCUCGGUUUUACUGGAUGUUGGCUGGAUUGCUCUCCAAAGGGUUGCAUCUGUUAAUAUUCCCACUAGUUGCAUAUGAAAGUCCUGGUUGCUCCACACUUGUUACACUGCCAUUUUUGCCAAUCAGAUGGAUGCAGAAAGGUUGGUAUACACUUUGAAUGACAGGGGAGCUCCUUUCCCAGACCUUUUUCCUGGAUGUUCAGGAAACAGUGUGCUUCCACCUUAGCACUGGCAGAGGACCAGAGUAUUGUUGAGGUGAAGCUUAAAAAGAUCAAAUCCCGGAGUUCCCAUUGUGGCUCAGCAGAGACGAAUCUGACUAACAUCCAUGAGGACACAGGUUUGAUCCCUGGCCUUGCUGUGGCUGUGGUGUAGGCCAGUGGCUACAGCUCUGAUUCGACCCCUAGCCUGGGGUCAAAUAUGCCAUAUGCCCUUGGUGUGGCCCUAAAAAG